CUUCGUUAAAGUUAUGACUUUAAAACAUUAUAUGAAGAUAGAAUGUUUAUGGGAGUUAAUCAUGUUCCUAAAAUAUAAAUAUAUAUAUAUGAUAUAUUAAUUUUGGAAAUGAAAAGAAUACUUCUUCGUUAAAGUUAUGACUUUAAGCAUUCUAUAACGAUAUAAUGUAUAUGGGAGACAUAGUCUAUAAACAUGGGAUGGAAAUCUAUAAUGAUAGAUUUUAGGAUAUAAUUGGAUUAUAUCAAGCCCUAAAUAAUAGACAAGAGUUGCUAGGAAGUUUCUCAUAUGAUGAUAAACUUCAAUUAGAAGGAUGACUCUAGUGUGACUAGCAAGUUGCCCUUCUCAAAGGGAACAUGCCCUUUUGACUCCCAAAGAAAUAAUGCGUAAAUAGAAUCCUUUAUGCAUAUGCAUAAAGGUGAUUUAUGUAUUUCAUAUUGUAUGAAAAACAUUGAUAUGAGUUGUACCUAGAACGGUACAAGACGAUAUCAGUGCAAGCCCAGGAUCAGAACCAUGGCAACUGUUAAGUGAGUCCUUAAGUAUUUAAGAAAUACUAAAGGAUAGAUUCCUCAAAGAUUGAGGAAGACUUAGAGUAACGUAAUGGAAGCGUAAAUGUAUUAGAUUAUGAAUCUAAUCCAUCAUUGGAUGUUUCUUCAUUAUGAAUGAAGAGAUAAACAGAUAUCUCUUUAUUAUGACUAAAGAGAUAUUUGGAUGGAAACAUUAAAGUAAUGACUUUAGUGUGUUCCAUUAUGAAUGCAAAAUAUAUUGCCAUAUAGAAGCUUACAACAAUGUUGUUUGGAUGGGAAAGUUCAUGAACUCUCUAUUCGGUUCCAACCAGAAAGUGUAUGACACUAAUGGGGAGAUAGCUCAAGCCAGGGAAUCAAGGUCUCAUCAAGGUCCGAACUCAAAUGAGAGACUGAACCACAUGAUUGAGAAUCAUGUAUAAUGGUGACGUCGAUAUUCUCAAGGUUGCUUCUAUGGAUAACAUAUAAAUAUCCAUUGUCUAGGCCUACUACUCAGCCAUUUAUGAAAUGACUACAGAAGAGGUAUCAUCACUGAUGACCAAGCUGAUUGGCUCUAGUGCAAGUGGGAGAUUGUUGGAAAUGUGCCCUAAAACCAAUCAUGUGAUGAUGCUUUACGGACAUUUCACAUGUUAAACUAAUCUAGU
rnacentral:lncRNA from 1 species